UUGGAAGACUUUUGAAAAUGGAAGUCACGAGACUGAUUAAUAUUCCUGUUUCUGGAUGUACAACACUUUAUCCAUUCACCUACCGAAGGACAUCUUGGCUGCUUCCAAGUCUGGACAAUUAUGAGUAAAGCUGCUGUAAACAUCCAUUCAAUGGAUGAGAAUUCCUGCUGCUCCAUAUUCUCGCCAGCAGUUGGUGUUUGCA